CGUACACUCCUGCGGGAGGCAGCAGUGAGGAAUAUUGGACAAUGGGUGGAAGCCUGAUCCAGCCAUCCCGCGUGCAGGAAGACGGCCCUAUGGGUUGUAAACUGCUUUUAUCUGGGGAUAAACCUACUUACGUGUAAGUAGCUGAAGGUACCAGAAGAAUAAGCACCGGCUAACUCCGUGCCAGCAGCCGCGGUAAUACGGAGGGUGCAAGCGUUAUCCGGAUUUAUUGGGUUUAAAGGGUCCGUAGGCGGAUUGAUAAGUCAGUGGUGAAAUCCGACAGCUUAACUGUCGAACUGCCAUUGAUACUGUUAGUCUUGAGUAAGGUUGAAGUGGCUGGAAUAAGUAGUGUAGCGGUGAAAUGCAUAGAUAUUACUUAGAACACCAAUUGCGAAGGCAGGUCACUAAGUCUUAACUGACGCUGAUGGACGAAAGCGUGGGGAGCGAACAGGAUUAGAAACCCUAGUAGUCCCAU
rnacentral:rRNA from 1 species